rnacentral:rRNA from 1 species
AACACGGGGAAACUCACCCGGCCCGGACACUGUGAGGAUUGACAGAUUGAUAGCUUUUUCAUGAUUCAGUGGAUGGUGGUGCAUGGCCGUUCUUAGUUCGUGGAGUGAUUUGUCUGGUUUAUCCCGAUAACGAGCGAGACUCUAACCUACUAAAUAGUUGGUACAUACUCUUAGUGUAUACAGCUUCUUAGAGGGAUUUGCGGCGUUCAGCCGAAAGAAAUUGAGCAAUAACAGGUCUGUGAUGCCCUUAGAUGUCCGGGGCUGCACGCGCGCUACACUGGCAAAAUCAACGUGCUUGUCCUACCCUGAAAGGGGCGGGUAAACCAUUGAAAAUUUGCCGUGAUUGGGAUCGGAAAUUGCAAUUAUUUUCCGUGAACGAGGAAUUCCAAGUAAGUGCGAGUCAUCAGCUCGCGUUGAUUACGUCCCUGCCCUUUGUACACACCGCCCGUCGCUGCCCGGGACUGAGCCAUUUCGAGAAAUUUGGGGACCGUUGAUUUAAUUUUUCUAAAUUACUUUGAUGGAAACCAAUUUAAUCGCAGUGGCUUGAACCGGGC